rnacentral:rRNA from 1 species
GUGUCACUUUUGCUCGGACUACCGUUGGCAGGUCAUGCCGUAGGUCCGUUGGACGCACCGGCUGGUUGGGAGCGAGCUCUUACAGAAUGUUUUCACGGUGUUUUUUCGGAUGCUCCCGAUCCGGUAUGGGAGCAUCACGGACCUAAGUAUGAGUGGUUGCUAAAUUUCCGGAUCCAGAACUUCCGGGCGCCCUUGACUGCGGAACAGAUCACUCGGAGCCUCGAGGCCUACUUACUGUGGCUUUUCGGCAAGGUGAUGUUCACGGAGAACCAUGUCACCACUAUUAGCGCCCUCUACAUCCCUAUGGCACUCGAGAUAGCGAGCGCUCAGACGGCGGAUCAGAUCAGACAGAGGAGUUGGGGUUCGGCGCUGUUAGCGGCAACAUACCGAGGUAUGUGCAACGGUUGCCAGCUUACAUCGAGAAAGCUAGCCCUUCUUGGAUGCCCUCUAUUCCUACAGCUG